GGGUUGUGAGGUUAAGCGACUAAGCGUACACGGUGGAUGCCCUGGCAGUCAGAGGCGAUGAAGGACGUGCUAAUCUGCGAUAAGCGUCGGUAAGGUGAUAUGAACCGUUAUAACCGGCGAUUUCCGAAUGGGGAAACCCAGUGUGAUUCGUCACACUAUCAUUAACUGAAUCCAUAGGUUAAUGAGGCGAACCGGGGGAACUGAAACAUCUAAGUACCCCGAGGAAAAGAAAUCAACCGAGAUUCCCCCAGUAGCGGCGAGCGAACGGGGAGGAGCCCAGAGCCUGAAUCAGUGUGUGUGUUAGUGGAAGCGUCUGGAAAGGCGCGCGAUACAGGGUGACAGCCCCGUACACAAAAAUGCACAUACUGUGAGCUCGAUGAGUAGGGCGGGACACGUGGUAUCCUGUCUGAAUAUGGGGGACCAUCCUCCAAGGCUAAAUACUCCUGACUGACCGAUAGUGAACCAGUACCGUGAGGGAAAGGCGAAAAGAACCCCGGCGAGGGGAGUGAAAAGAACCUGAAACCGUGUACGUACAAGCAGUGGGAGCCUCUUUUAUGGGGUGACUGCGUACCUUUUGUAUAAUGGGUCAGCGACUUAUAUUCUGUAGCAAGGUUAACCGAAUAGGGGAGCCGAAGGGAAACCGAGUCUUAACUGGGCGUUAAGUUGCAGGGUAUAGACCCGAAACCCGGUGAUCUAGCCAUGGGCAGGUUGAAGGUUGGGUAACACUAACUGGAGGACCGAACCGACUAAUGUUGAAAAAUUAGCGGAUGACUUGUGGCUGGGGGUGAAAGGCCAAUCAAACCGGGAGAUAGCUGGUUCUCCCCGAAAGCUAUUUAGGUAGCGCCUCGUGAAUUCAUCUCCGGGGUAGAGCACUGUUUCGGCAAGGGGGUCAUCCCGACUUACCAACCCGAUGCAAACUGCGAAUACCGGAGAAUGUUAUCACGGGAGACACACGGCGGGUGCUAACGUCCGUCGUGAAGAGGGAAACAACCCAGACCGCCAGCUAAGGUCCCAAAGUCAUGGUUAAGUGGGAAACGAUGUGGGAAGGCCCAGACAGCCAGGAUGUUGGCUUAGAAGCAGCCAUCAUUUAAAGAAAGCGUAAUAGCUCACUGGUCGAGUCGGCCUGCGCGGAAGAUGUAACGGGGCUAAACCAUGCACCGAAGCUGCGGCAGCGACACUGUGUGUUGUUGGGUAGGGGAGCGUUCUGUAAGCCUGUGAAGGUGUACUGUGAGGUAUGCUGGAGGUAUCAGAAGUGCGAAUGCUGACAUAAGUAACGAUAAAGCGGGUGAAAAGCCCGCUCGCCGGAAGACCAAGGGUUCCUGUCCAACGUUAAUCGGGGCAGGGUGAGUCGACCCCUAAGGCGAGGCCGAAAGGCGUAGUCGAUGGGAAACAGGUUAAUAUUCCUGUACUUGGUGUUACUGCGAAGGGGGGACGGAGAAGGCUAUGUUGGCCGGGCGACGGUUGUCCCGGUUUAAGCGUGUAGGCUGGUUUUCCAGGCAAAUCCGGAAAAUCAAGGCUGAGGCGUGAUGACGAGGCACUACGGUGCUGAAGCAACAAAUGCCCUGCUUCCAGGAAAAGCCUCUAAGCAUCAGGUAACAUCAAAUCGUACCCCAAACCGACACAGGUGGUCAGGUAGAGAAUACCAAGGCGCUUGAGAGAACUCGGGUGAAGGAACUAGGCAAAAUGGUGCCGUAACUUCGGGAGAAGGCACGCUGAUAUGUAGGUGAAGUCCCUCGCGGAUGGAGCUGAAAUCAGUCGAAGAUACCAGCUGGCUGCAACUGUUUAUUAAAAACACAGCACUGUGCAAACACGAAAGUGGACGUAUACGGUGUGACGCCUGCCCGGUGCCGGAAGGUUAAUUGAUGGGGUCAGCGCAAGCGAAGCUCUUGAUCGAAGCCCCGGUAAACGGCGGCCGUAACUAUAACGGUCCUAAGGUAGCGAAAUUCCUUGUCGGGUAAGUUCCGACCUGCACGAAUGGCGUAAUGAUGGCCAGGCUGUCUCCACCCGAGACUCAGUGAAAUUGAACUCGCUGUGAAGAUGCAGUGUACCCGCGGCAAGACGGAAAGACCCCGUGAACCUUUACUAUAGCUUGACACUGAACAUUGAGCCUUGAUGUGUAGGAUAGGUGGGAGGCUUUGAAGUGUGGACGCCAGUCUGCAUGGAGCCGACCUUGAAAUACCACCCUUUAAUGUUUGAUGUUCUAACGUGGACCCGUGAUCCGGGUUGCGGACAGUGUCUGGUGGGUAGUUUGACUGGGGCGGUCUCCUCCUAAAGAGUAACGGAGGAGCACGAAGGUUGGCUAAUCCUGGUCGGACAUCAGGAGGUUAGUGCAAUGGCAUAAGCCAGCUUGACUGCGAGCGUGACGGCGCGAGCAGGUGCGAAAGCAGGUCAUAGUGAUCCGGUGGUUCUGAAUGGAAGGGCCAUCGCUCAACGGAUAAAAGGUACUCCGGGGAUAACAGGCUGAUACCGCCCAAGAGUUCAUAUCGACGGCGGUGUUUGGCACCUCGAUGUCGGCUCAUCACAUCCUGGGGCUGAAGUAGGUCCCAAGGGUAUGGCUGUUCGCCAUUUAAAGUGGUACGCGAGCUGGGUUUAGAACGUCGUGAGACAGUUCGGUCCCUAUCUGCCGUGGGCGCUGGAGAACUGAGGGGGGCUGCUCCUAGUACGAGAGGACCGGAGUGGACGCAUCACUGGUGUUCGGGUUGUCAUGCCAAUGGCACUGCCCGGUAGCUAAAUGCGGAAGAGAUAAGUGCUGAAAGCAUCUAAGCACGAAACUUGCCCCGAGAUGAGUUCUCCCUGACCCUUUAAGGGUCCUGAAGGAACGUUGAAGACGACGACGUUGAUAGGCCGGGUGUGUAAGCGCAGCGAUGCGUUGAGCUAACCGGUACUAAUGAACCGUGAGGCUUAACCUUACAACGCCGAAGGUGUUU
rnacentral:rRNA from 1 species